rnacentral:lncRNA from 1 species
GUGGAGGGUAGUAUCCUGUAUAUGUCCUGGUGACAUAGUGAAGGUUAUGCUGUGGAGGGUAGUAUCCUGUAUAUGUCCUGGUGACAUAGUGAAGGUUAUGCUGUGGAGGGUAGUAUCCUGUAUAUGUCCUGGUGACAUAGCGAAGGUUAUGUUGUGGAGGGUAGUAUCCUGUAUAUGUCCUGGUGACAUAGUGAAGGUUAUGCUGUGGAGGGUAGUAUCCUGUAUAUGUCCUGGUGACAUAGUGAAGGUUAUGUUGUGGAGGGUAGUAUCCUGUAUAUGUCCUGGUGACAUAGUGAAGGUUAUGUUGUGGAGGGUAGUAUCCUGUAUAUGUCCUGGUGACAUAGUGAAGGUUAUGCUGUGGAGGGUAGUAUUCUGUAUAUGUCCUGGUGACAUAGUGAAAGUUAUGUUGUGGAGGGUAGUAUCCUGUAUAUGUCAUGGUGACAUAGUGAAGGUUAUGUUGUAGAGGGUAGUAUCCUGUAUAUGUCCUGGUGACAUAGUGUUGUGGAGGGUAGUAACCUGUAUAUGUCCUGGUGACAUAGUGUUGUAGAGGGUAGUAUCCUGUAUAUGUCCUGGUGACAUAGUGAAGGUUAUGUUGUGGAGGGUAGUAUCCUGUAUAU